UACGGAGGAUCCAAGCGUUAUCCGGAUUUAUUGGGUUUAAAGGGUGCGUAGGCGGCUUAUUAAGUCAGGGGUGAAAGACGGUGGCUCAACCAUCGCAGUGCCCUUGAUACUGAUGAGCUUGAGUACAUUUGAGGUAGGCGGAAUGUGACAAGUAGCGGUGAAAUGCAUAGAUAUGUCACAGAACACCAAUUGCGAAGGCAGCUUACUAAGGUGCAAUUGACGCUGAGGCACGAAAGCGUGGGGAUCAAACAGG
rnacentral:rRNA from 1 species